rnacentral:tRNA from 1 species
GCCCCGGUAGCUCAGCCGGAUAGAGCGCUGGUCUCCGGAACCAGAGGUCGUGGGUUCGAAUCCCGCCCGGGGUA